GAUGAACGCUGGCGGCGUGCCUAAUACAUGCAAGUCGAACGCAUUGUGGUUGAAAUGAUAUGAAGAACUUGUUCAGAUUUGAUUUUCAACAUUGCAAUGAGUGGCGAACGGGUGAGUAACACGUGGGAAACCUACCUCUUAGCAGGGGAUAACAUUUGGAAACAAAUGCUAAUACCGUAUAAUAAUUAAAACCGCAUGGUUUUAGUUUAAAAGAUGGUCUUGCUAUCACUAAGAGAUGGUCCCGCGGUGUAUUAGUUAGUUGGUGAGGUAAUGGCUCACCAAGACAAUGAUACAUAGCCGAGUUGAGAGACUGACCGGCCACAAUGGGACUGAGACACGGCCCAUACUCCUACGGGAGGCAGCAGUAGGGAAUCUUCCACAAUGGACGAAAGUCUGAUGGAGCAACGCCGCGUGUGUGAUGAAGGUUUCGGCUCGUAAAACACUGUUGUAAGAGAAGAAUGACAUUGAGAGUAACUGUUCAA
rnacentral:rRNA from 1 species